UACAGAGGGUGCGAGCGUUGUUCGGAAUUAUUGGGCGUAAAGCGCGUGUAGGCGGGAUGGCAAGUCGGGUGUGAAAGCCCUCAGCUCAACUGAGGAAGUGCGCCCGAAACUACUGUUCUUGAGUACUGGAGAGGGUGGCGGAAUUCCUGGUGUAGCGGUGAAAUGCGUUGAUAUCAGGAGGAACACCGAUGGCGAAGGCAGCAAACUGGUCGUCAACUGACGCUGAGGCGCGAAAGCGUGGGUAGCAAACAGG
rnacentral:rRNA from 1 species